CCUACGGGAGGCUGCAGUGUGGAAUAUUGCGCAAUGGGCGAAAGCCUGACGCAGCGACGCCGCGUGAGGGAUGAAGGUCUUCGGAUCGUAAACCUCUGUCAGUAGGGAAGAACGGUCAUGUUGCUAAUCAGCAGUGAAUUGACGGUACCUGCAAAGGAAGCACCGGCUAACUCCGUGCCAGCAGCCGCGGUAAUACGGAGGGUGCGAGCGUUAAUCGGAAUUACUGGGCGUAAAGCGCUCGUAGGCGGUAUGUCAAGUCAAGGGUGAAAGCCCCGCGCUCAACGUGGGAACUGCAUUUGAAACUGGCAAACUGGAGUGUAGAAGAGGAUAGUGGAAUUCCAGGUGUAGGAGUGAAAUCCGUAGAGAUCUGGAGGAACAUCAGUGGCGAAGGCGACUAUCUGGCACAUAACUGACGCUGAGGUGCGAAAGCGUGGGUAGCAAACAGGAUUAGAUACCCGGGUAGUC
rnacentral:rRNA from 1 species